ensembl:lncRNA
GUUUUUUGGGGGGGCCUUCCCUAAACUUGGAUCAGAUGAAAUAAGUCAUGAAUCAUCAAAUGAGACCAAGAGGACACCAAACUGAAAUGUGAAUGUAUCGUCAACACAAGCCUGCACAUGGAUCCACGUCGACUGGUUUGUGGAAGCUGCAUUAGCAUUACUGAGCCGCAGCGCCGCGGGAUCAAAGAGGCUUUGUCCUGUGAUGCGUGAGGGUCGUGCAGGUAUGGGACAGACGCGGCCUGACCCCAGACUACAGGGCAGCAGGGACACAAUCUGCUCCGAGACCCGCUCCUGUGCUCAUCGGCCACUGAACGAGAAGCUGCUCUGUGAAGAUACCACAGUGUCCCGAGGAGAGAUGGGAAGGAACAAAAGAAAGUUUGGAAAGAAAGGAAGAUGGGAGGACCUCGAGACAAAAAGAGAAAAUGCAUGAUCACUUUGUCAUCUAUUGAAGCUCAUGAAAACACCGCCGAUCACUUCGAGAUGUCAGAGAGCGACCGGGGAAAGCGUUUGGACCUCAGCGAUUAUGGUGAAGGCAAUCCCAUAAUGCACUGCGACAAGCUCAGUGAAACAAAAUCAACUAAGAUGAAAGCAGGAUUGCUCAGUAGGCUUUUCCACGGUGCUGAGAAAUGAAGUGAAUGGAGUUUAAGCAAACAGAGUCAGGUCUGCCUGCAGC